rnacentral:rRNA from 1 species
UACGGAGGGUGCAAGCGUUAUCCGGAUUCACUGGGUUUAAAGGGUGCGUAGGCGGGUAUGUAAGUCAGUGGUGAAAUCCUGGAGCUUAACUCCAGAACUGCCAUUGAUACUAUAUAUCUUGAAUAUUGUGGAGGUUUGCGGAAUAUGUCAUGUAGCGGUGAAAUGCUUAGAUGAUGACAUAGAACACCUAUUGCGAAGGCAGCAGGCUACACAUAUAUUGACGCUGAGGCACGAAAGCGUGGGGAUCAAACAGG